UUACGGCCAUAUCAUGUUGAAAUACUGGUUCUUGUAUGAUCACCAGAGUUAAGCAACAUUGAGCCUGAUCAGUACCUAGAUGGGUGACUGCUUGGUUAUACCAGGUUCUG
rnacentral:rRNA from 1 species